UGCCCGCGGGCUGGUCCUGCGCCCAAAGGCGUGGUCCCCGCGCGGCGCCCCGUCCACGGGGUGGAUGCCCCCGCUCGCCCCUCCCCGUUUCCAAGCUCCUUGGUCACUGGACUCCCGUGGCCCAACAAGGCCUUUGGGAAUCCGCUUUUCCUUGUCUUGCCUCUGCUCCCUCCCUGCCCUCCUGCCAGUCCUGUGCCCGCGGAAAGGCCUCCUGCGAUGUGGGCUGACCUACCGCACGCCCGGGUUUCCCAGACACUCCUCUCUUUUGGGGCCCUGGUGCUCAAUCCGGAGCGCCAAAUGUGUGGUUUUAAAAGGCGACCAAAUGUCCAGGGUGGCUAUAGGCCAUACAGGUCCUGGGCUGAGACCCGUGGUCAGGGGCACUGACAUGAUUUGACAUGGCCAACCUGUGGAAUCAAAACCAGGAAUAUCUGGGAGUCCUUUCUUAGGAAGGAAUGAGUUGGAAAUCCAGGAUUACUUAGAGGAGAAACAGAGGAUGCUUUUCAUCUCUGGGUCAAUUCUACACUGGACUGAUCACAAUUUCGUAUCUCUGAAAUGAAAGCAAGCGGGUGCUUGAACACAAGCAAGCGGGUGCUUCCUUCCCCUGGUGCAGGAUCACUGUAACCCCCGAGGGUGUGGACUUCUCUCCAUGGCUCAGCCUGUCCUAUGCAUGGGGAACUGUCUCUGCUGAGUCAGGCUAGCAGGGGUCUGAGCUCUGGGGCCUGAGCCUUUUGCAGCUGAACAAGGGCAAGGGGAGGGCAGGGGUCAAAGUCUGGAUGUCCCCUUAAGGGGAAAGGAAAUGGGAGAGGAAAGGGCUCCUUAGUUUUGCAGACAAAGGUCAAACUAGAUCCAAGGGCUGGAAACUGGAAUGUGGCUUACUCAUGCCAGAGACAAGACAAGUUUUCCUUUUCCCAGUGAGGAAAUGGGACCCUUGUGACUGCUUCCCAGGAGCCCUGGGGGAGUCUCCACCCCGGCAAGAGUCCAAGUCACAACUGAGCGUGUUUCGAACACACGGCUCUUGGCCUGGCUGAGCCAGGGCAAUUAUGUACUGCUUACCCCACCUCCCACCACAAAGCCCAACCCCCUCCAGCUCCACACUGAGCUUUAAGCCAAACACGUUCCCAGCCCACCAUCUCCAAAACACACCUAGCUCUACAUGGAAUAGGUCCACUCUGAUUCGCAGCCCCCUUCCCAGCCCCAAGGGUCCUACAGCACACUUUUCCCAAUGUCCCUUCUCUCCACCAGACCUAUAGUCAAGAUGACAAUAUCCCCUUGGGGUAACCCUGGCCAUGUCCCAACCUGUUUUCAGACUCUUGGCUUUGGGGGCAUGGACUCAAGUUCCCCUCUCCGGUGACCACAGUGCCUUGAUUUGAAGUGAGCGUGAAACGAGAGGGGGUGGAUGGGACCUGCUCCUGAUGGCAGCCCUGGGGCAGUGCAGGCAAGUGUGUUGCUGCACAGCAGUGUUUAAUUUUAGGCCUUGCAGUGAUUUCUGUUCCAUGUCCAGACAAGAGGGUCUCUCUGGGGUUUCUCAUCUACCCUGUGAAGUGAAGAGCAUUUUAUGGUUGUGGCGGUGAGGAAGGGAUGGGGCAGAACUCCUUUGUCGAGGUGUAAUUUUAUGUAGAAAAAUGCCUUUUGUGGUACUUUAUGCCUGGCUCUGGGGAAACAGCCCUUCCUGGGGAGUGGUACAGCAUCAACACCCUUUCUGCAAUAGUUGCCAGAGUUUUGCUGAAGACCGAAAACAAAAAGGAAAGGAAAGGGAGGCAAGCUAGGUGUGAAGGGGUCUAGAAAAUAGAAAAGGGCAGUGGAAGAGGAGUAUGGCAAAGGAGAGGUCAUUCAAGGUGGAAAGAGCUGAAUUUUGGGAUUUAAUGUCCAGGGUGCUGGCCUUCCCAGCAGGAAUCCAGCUUUGAACUUCCCACUCAUUCUCUCCUCCCCUUCUUUUUCUGCCAGAUGCAUUUCUCAAUGGACAGCUUGCCUUUUUUGU